rnacentral:rRNA from 1 species
UACGUAGGGAGCAAGCGUUGUCCGGAAUCAUUGGGCGUAAAGCGCGCGUAGGUGGCCAUGUAAGUCCGCUGUGAAAGUCAAAGGCUCAACCUUUGAAAGCCGAUGGAUACUGUGGAGCUAGAGUACGGAAGAGGCGAGUGGAAUUCCUGGUGUAGCGGUGAAAUGCGCAGAUAUCAGGAAGAACACCCGUGGCGAAGGCGGCUCUCUGGGACGGUACUGACGCUGAGGCGCGAAAGCUAGGGGAGCAAACAGG